UGGGGAAUUUUGCGCAAUGGGGGAAACCCUGACGCAGCAACGCCGCGUGGAGGAUGAAAUCCCUUGGGAUGUAAACUCCUUUCGAUGGGGAAGAUAAUGACGGUACCCGCAGAAGAAGCCCCGGCUAACUUCGUGCCAGCAGCCGCGGUAAUACGAAGGGGGCUAGCGUUGCUCGGAAUCACUGGGCGUAAAGCGCACGUAGGCGGCUUCUUAAGUCAGGGGUGAAAUCCUGGAGCUCAACUCCAGAACUGCCUUUGAUACUGAGGAGCUUGAGUCCGGGAGAGGUGAGUGGAACUGCGAGUGUAGAGGUGAAAUUCGUAGAUAUUCGCAAGAACACCAGUGGCGAAGGCGGCUCACUGGCCCGGUACUGACGCUGAGGUGCGAAAGCGUGGGGAGCAAAC
rnacentral:rRNA from 1 species